rnacentral:rRNA from 1 species
UACGUAGGGGGCUAGCGUUGUCCGGAAUCAUUGGGCGUAAAGAGCGCGUAGGCGGCCAGAUAAGUCCGGUGUGAAAGUCACAGGCUCAACCUGUGAAUGCCGCUGGAAACUGUCUGGCUAGAGUCCGGAAGGGGCGAGUGGAAUUCCUGGUGUAGCGGUGAAAUGCGCAGAUAUCAGGAAGAACACCCGUGGCUAAGGCGGUUCUCUAGUACGGUACUGACGCUGAGACGCGAAAGCUAGGGGAGCAAACGGG